rnacentral:rRNA from 1 species
AGCGAACGCUGGCGGCAGGCUUAACACAUGCAAGUCGAGCGGGCACUUUCGGGUGUCAGCGGCGGACGGGUGAGUAACGCGUGGGAACGUGCCCUCUGGUUCGGAAUAACUCAGGGAAACUUGAGCUAAUACCGGAUACGCCCUUUUGGGGAAAGGCUUGCUGCCGGAGGAUCGGCCCGCGUCUGAUUAGCUAGUUGGUGAGGUAACGGCUCACCAAGGCGACGAUCAGUAGCUGGUCUGAGAGGAUGAUCAGCCACACUGGGACUGAGACACGGCCCAGACUCCUACGGGAGGCAGCAGUGGGGAAUAUUGGACAAUGGGCGCAAGCCUGAGCCAGCCAUGCCGCGUGAGUGAUGAAGGCUUGAGGGUUGUAAAGCUCUUUUAUCCGGGACGAUAAUGACGGGACCGGAGGAAUAAGCCCCGGCUAACUUCG